rnacentral:rRNA from 1 species
GUGCCAGCAGCCGCGGUAAUACGGAGGGUGCGAGCGUUGUUCGGAAUUAUUGGGCGUAAAGCGCACGUAGGCGGCCCGUUAAGUCUCAUGGUGAAAGGCCGGGGCUCAACCCCGAGCAUGCCGGGGAUACUGGGGGGCUGGAGACAGGUAGAGGCCAGCGGAAUUCCGGGUGUAGCGGUGGAAUGCGUAGAGAUCCGGAAGAACACCGGAGGCGAAGGCGGCUGGCUGGACCUGAUCUGACGCUGAGGUGCGAAAGCGUGGGGAGCGAACAGGAUUAGAUACCCUGGUAGUCCACGCCGUAAACGAUGGAGACUAGAUGCCGGUGGGAUCGACCCCUUCGGUGUCGGAGCUAACGCGUUAAGUCUCCCGCCUGGGGAGUACGGCCGCAAGGCUGAA